rnacentral:rRNA from 1 species
UACAGAGGGGGCAAGCGUUGUUCGGAAUUACUGGGCGUAAAGCGCACGUAGGCGGACCGGAAAGUCAGAGGUGAAAUCCCAGGGCUCAACCUUGGAACGGCCUUUGAAACUCCUGGUCUUGAGUUCGAGAGAGGUGAGUGGAAUUCCGAGUGUAGAGGUGAAAUUCGUAGAUAUUCGGAGGAACACCAGUGGCGAAGGCGGCUCACUGGCUCGAUACUGACGCUGAGGUGCGAAAGCGUGGGGAGCAAACAAG